rnacentral:tRNA from 1 species
GCCGGAGUGGCCAAGUGGUAAGGCGUCGCUCUCGUAAAGCGAAGAUCAUGUGUUCAAUCCACACCUUCGGCU